rnacentral:rRNA from 4 species
CUGGGGAGUACGGCCGCAAGGUUAAAACUCAAAUGAAUUGACGGGGGCCCGCACAAGCGGUGGAGCAUGUGGUUUAAUUCGAUGCAACGCGAAGAACCUUACCUGGUCUUGACAUCCACGGAAGAAUCCAGAGAUGGAUUUGUGCCUUCGGGAACCGUGAGACAGGUGCUGCAUGGCUGUCGUCAGCUCGUGUUGUGAAAUGUUGGGUUAAGUCCCGCAACGAGCGCAACCCUUAUCCUUUGUUGCCAGCGAUUAGGUCGGGAACUC